rnacentral:rRNA from 1 species
UGCGCAGGCGGCCAUGUGUGUUAGGCGUGAAAGCCCGAGGCUUAACCUCGGAAUUGCACCUAAACUACAUGGCUAGAGUACUGGAGAGGGUAGCGGAAUUCACGGUGUAGCAGUGAAAUGCGUAGAUAUCGUGAGGAACACCAAUGGCGAAGGCAGCUACCUGGACAGUUACUGACGCUCAGGCACGAAAGCGUGGGGAGCAAAAGGGAUUAGAUACCCCUGUAGUCCACGCCCUAAACGGUGCACACUAGGUCUUGGCGGAUUCGACCCCUCCAGGGCCCAAGCUAACGCGUUAAGUGUGCCGCCUGAGGACUACGGCCGCAAGGCUAAA